CAUGGGGGAACCCUGAUGCAGCGACGCCGCGUGAAGGAAGAAGUAUCUCCCNUAUGUAAACUUCUAUCAGCAGGGNAAGAGAUUGACGGUACCUGACUAAGAAGCCCCGGCUAACUACGUGCCAGCAGCCGCGGUAAUACGUAUGGUGCAAGCGUUAUCCGGAUUUACUGGGUGUAAAGGGAGCGCAGGCGGUGCGGCAAGUCUGAUGUGAAAGCCCGGGGCUCAACCCCGGUACUGCAUUGGAAACUGUCGUACUAGAGUGUCGGAGGGGUAAGCGGAAUUCCUAGUGUAGCGGUGAAAUGCGUAGAUAUUAGGAGGAACACCAGUGGCGAAGGCGGCUUACUGGACGAUAACUGACGCUGAGGCUCGAAAGCGUGGGGAGCAAACAGGAUUAGAUACCCUGGUAGUCCAAGGGCGAAUUC
rnacentral:rRNA from 1 species